rnacentral:rRNA from 1 species
CCUAGGGAGAGCAGCAGUGAGGAAUAUUGCUCAAUGGGCGGAAGCCUGAAGCAGCAACGCCGCGAGGGUGAAGAAGGCUUUCGGGUCGUAAAACCCUUUUCUGUGUGACGAGAACGGACGGUAGCACAGGAAUAAGUGUCGGCUAACUACGUGCCAGCAGCCGCGGUAAUACGUAGGACGCGAGCAUUAUCCGGAAUUACUGGGAGUAAAGAGCACGCAGGCGGUUGGUUAAGUCAGGCAAGAAAGCUCUAGGCUAAACUUGGAGAGGCUGCUUGAUACUGGCCGACUUGAGUGGGGGAGAGGGGCGUAGAAUUCCGCGUGUAGUGGUAAAAUGCGUAGAUAUGCGGAGGAAUCCCAGAGGCGAAGGCGACGCUCUGGCCCCUAACUGACGCUGAGGUGCGAAAGCAUGGGGAGUGAACGGGAUUAGAAACCCCGGUAAUCCAUGCUGUAAACGAUGUGCACUAAACGUUCGGCCUUCGGGUCGGUGCCGCAGCAAACGCGGUAAGUGCACCGCCUGGGAGACC